rnacentral:sRNA from 1 species
UUGCAGGGGCCGUACCAGGCGUAGCAUCGAUCGCACGACGGGUUCGGGAGUGACCUAUCCGAAGAGCCGACAAGGGAUGAAAG